GCGCCUCACCCCACCCCCAGCCUGAGUUCCUCAGGGUCUGUCCCAUGGAGAAGAUAAAGGAUUCUGUCAGGAGUGGUGACCUCACAGCAGGCAGGAGUCACAAAACCCCAUCCUUUCCUUUCUCCCCACAGCUGCUCACUGCUCAAAGAAAACAUGUGUUGCCUGAAGCUGGAGACUUGCUCUUUUCCGCAACAACAUAAUGUCAGAGAACGAUGAUGAUCCGGCAAUGGGUCAGUUUUUGUUAAGAAAGGAAUUCUUGUGCCUUUUGAAGCCAAACCUUCAAAAAAGUUGCCUGUGCUGCUUCCUCGGAUGUGGAUAAGAGGUGCCAGCAGGGGGCGCCCUCUUACAAGGCACUCACUAAGCAGCUCCGCUGCGGCGCCUUUUCCUUUCGUGGUCAGCUUCGAUGACGUCACCGUAGCGGGGCAGUCCUCUUGCUCCGGAUACACACAAGCACAAAGAAGCACAAACCUGCUCGGUACCGCGAAACUUUCGCUUCCUUCCUGUGUCUUGUCACUCUUCAUAGAAACUCAAGUCAGAAUUACAAGGGAAGCGAACACCUGCACGGAUGGGCGGGACGUGGAGGCAGGGAAACACGGCGGCAGGGGAAUAAGUGGAUUCGAUAGGGAGAAGAGCUGGUGGAGAGGAGAGGCGCCAGGACCAGGCUGUUUGUUCCUGAAAACAUCUAUCAAACUGGGGUUAACAAAAACAAUCCUUUUUGUGGGCAUGAGAGCACCUUCGGAUGGUCACACUGUUGCCUAA
rnacentral:lncRNA from 1 species